GCGCCCCAGCGGCGGCAGCGCGGGGCGGGGAAGGUGGCUGUGCGGCUGGAGAGGACUCCGCAGGGUCGCCUGGCACCUCCCUCCCGGGCUUCUGGGGCCGGGCCCCGCCGGGGGACGAGGGGCGUCGGCGGGCGGGCCUGUCCGGCUGAGCCCCCUGCUCGGGCUCGGGCCCAGCCGGGGCUACCGCACGCCACACCGAGAACGCCGACUUCGGGGCGGCGUCCCUGAGGUAACCCCGGGGCACCACUUGGAGAGGUCCAGCACCUUGCAAGAGUGCGCGCCUGUUCUCCGCCGUGCGGGAGUGUGGGACUCCUGAUCGAAGCCGGCCCCCCAGUCUUCAGCGGCCGCUGGCAUGGCCGUCUCCCCAGGAGGCUCCCCCAGCACUCAGCCCUCACUGUCAGAAGGAAAUAGCUUGCCAGAGCUGCCAGGUGCUGGGCCAGGUUGGCCGCAGUCCCCACCUCAGGCGGGAGAGGGUGACGCUUGUCAGUGCAGGGCACCUUGAAGAUGUCAGGAAGUGCCUGUGUUGGCCCUGGGCGGUGAGUGCUAUGGCCUUAAAAUACAGGGUUACUCUAAGCUCACAGAUCCUUGAAACCCAGGCCCCACCCCAACCCCUCACCCCCUUGCCAACAAUCCAUAAAGCCGGGUUCCUAUCCAUGCCUCGGGAUGGGGAGGGGAAAAGAGGGUCACAAGGAAGGAUAGUCCUACCCCUUCCCCGCCAACCGAGGGCCAGGCCUGAGCCAGGGCCAGCAGACCCUCAGAGUUGGACAGGACUGGCCUUUUAACGCCCAAAGGGUCGGAGAGCUGACAUAGACCCUGAGCUUCUGAGGGCUCUGCUCCAAAGCUGUCUCCCAUCUGUUGAGAGGCAGAGGGGGGAAGAGUCAAAGCUGCUCCUUGGUGAUGCUUCAGGGCUCCACCUGGCCUGAGACGGGGCGGAGCAGGAGGCAGCGGCCAGCCAACGGGCACAAGGGUAGUUUGCAGGACUUCCAGUGCUGCUUCCCUGCACGUGGGAUGACACCCUUGGCCCAGCCAGGUGGAGUGGAAAGGAGGAAACCAAAACGAGGGUCGUCAUAGAGGGGUCGGGGCGCCGUGUCUGGGGCCUCUGGGCACCAUCUCUGAUGCUGUCUGCAAACUGGGCAGGGUACAGUGUUAGAGAAACUCGUUUUUUAACCGUCAAUAGCUUUAUUGGGUUUCCUGAUUACUAUAGGAAAAAUGUAUGCUCCCUGUAGCCAUUUCAAGUCUAUAAAAACAAGUACAAACUAACAGAAAUCUGGCAUCCUAGUGGCUGCUGGGAACACCCUUAAUGCCAGAAGAAGUCUGCCUUCCUGCCCCGCCUCUCUUCACGCUACAGUCUCAAGAAUGCAGAAGCGUGGUGCAGUGAGUUUUAAAAUGAGCUCUUUCUGCCUUUUUGUUUUUUCUCUUUGGGGGGCCCCCUUUUCCCUGUUCUCUGUGCGCCCCACACACUGUAUGUAAACUUGCAUAGUUGCUGCACAUUUAUACAAGUGUCGUUUGCGUGAAUUUACACCUUUUUACACCAGUGACAGUUGAGAGAAACAAGGUGGGACAUCCGGGAAGCACAGCUGCUCCGCUCAGGGAGGUUAGAGGGUCAGGUUAGGAAUUGGGUUAAGGAGUCAGGUUAGAGAUCACGGGAGGUUAGGGAUCAAAAAGGGAUCGGAUCCGAGGUUCAGAAUAGAGGUCAGGUUAGGGGUCAGGACACCGGAAGAGGACUGGCGGGACUGUGUGCUGUUUGGCCACGCCCCGCGUGAAGGCGGGCGGAACUGGAUUGGACCAGGUUGCAGUUUUGCCCAGAGGUGUGAUGAAGGGAGAGAGGGGAGUCACGAUGUGUGCCAGACAGGGGCUUUAUAUGACUUGAGGGAGCU
ensembl:lncRNA